rnacentral:rRNA from 1 species
GGUCAAGCGAACAAGUGCAUGUGGUGGAUGCCUUGGCGAUCACAGGCGAUGAAGGACGCGGUAGCCUGCGAAAAGCUACGGGGAGCUGGCAAACGAGCUUUGAUCCGUAGAUGUCCGAAUGGGGAAACCCACUCCGAAUGGAGUAUCCAUGACUGAAUCCAUAGGUCAUGUGAGGCGAACGCGGUGAACUGAAACAUCUAAGUAACCGCAGGAAAAGAAAUCAACCGAGAUUCCCAAAGUAGUGGCGAGCGAAAUGGGACCAGCCUGCAUUCUUUAUCUGAACUGUUAGCUGAACGCUCUGGAAAGUGCGGCCAUAGCGGGUGAUAGCCCCGUAAGCGAAAACAGAUUGGAAGAACUAGGUAUGCGAGAAGUAGGGCGGGACACGUGAAAUCCUGUCUGAAGAUGGGGGGACCAUCCUCCAAGGCUAAAUACUCGUGAUCGACCGAUAGUGAACCAGUACCGUGAGGGAAAGGCGAAAAGAACCCCGGGAGGGGAGUGAAACAGAUCCUGAAACCGCAUGCAUACAAACAGUCGGAGCCUCGUAAGGGGUGACGGCGUACCUUUUGUAUAAUGGGUCAGCGACUUACAUUCAGUGGCAAGCUUAACCGAUUAGGGCAGGCGUAGCGAAAGCGAGUCCGAACAGGGCGUUCAGUCGCUGGGUGUAGACCCGAAACCAGGUGAUCUAUCCAUGGCCAGGAUGAAGGUGCGGUAACACGUACUGGAGGUCCGAACCCACUAACGUUGAAAAGUUAGGGGAUGAGCUGUGGAUAGGGGUGAAAGGCUAAACAAACCUGGAAAUAGCUGGUUCUCUCCGAAAACUAUUUAGGUAGUGCCUCGUGUCUCACCUUCGGGGGUAGAGCACUGUCAUGGUUGUGGGGUCCAUUGCGGAUUACUACGCCAUAGCAAACUCCGAAUACCGAAGAGUGCAAUCACGGGAGACAGACAUCGGGUGCUAACGUCCGGUGUCAAGAGGGAAACAACCCAGACCGCCAGCUAAGGUCCCCAAAUAUGGCUAAGUGGGAAACGAAGUGGGAAGGCUAAAACAGUCAGGAGGUUGGCUUAGAAGCAGCCAUCCUUUAAAGAAAGCGUAAUAGCUCACUGAUCGAGUCGUCCUGCGCGGAAGAUGUAACGGGGCUAAGCCAUAUACCGAAGCUGCGGAUGCACAGCAAUGUGCAUGGUAGGAGAGCGUUCCGUAAGCCUGCGAAGGUGCACUGGAAAGUGUGCUGGAGGUAUCGGAAGUGCGAAUGCUGACAUGAGUAGCGAUAAAGGGGGUGAAAGGCCCCCUCGCCGUAAGCCCAAGGUUUCCUACGCAACGUUCAUCGGCGUAGGGUGAGUCGGCCCCUAAGGCGAGGCAGAAAUGCGUAGCUGAUGGGAAGCAGGUUAAUAUUCCUGCACCAUUGUUGAAUGCGAUGGGGGGACGGAUCGCGGAAGGUUGUCCGGGUGUUGGAAGUCCCGGUCCUUGCAUUGGAGAAGGCGCUUUGGCAAAUCCGGGCGCGGGAUUCAAGGGUGCGAGGCCAGUCUCUUCGGAGACGAAGCAAUCGGAAGUGGUUCCAGGAAAAGCCUCUAAGCUUCAGUUCAACAAGACCGUACCGCAAACCGACACAGGUGGGCGAGAUGAGUAUUCUAAGGCGCUUGAGAGAACUCGGGAGAAGGAACUCGGCAAAUUGGUACCGUAACUUCGGGAUAAGGUACGCCCCUGUAGCUUGACUCGCCUGCGCGAG